UCCCACUCCAAUCAGAAUAUACACGGCUGGGAAGAGAAGACAGGGCAGAUGCAGGACCUUCAACAUCUAACCUACCACGUUUUCACUUCGUUUUGCAUGGUGACUCAAUCCUUCACCUCUUGCUUCUGCAAAGCUCAAUUUAGGCCCUCCUCCCCACUCCUCUGCCGUAAGUGACCACAUCCUCUGCCAUGGCAACCAGUCCCUCAUGGCCAGCACAAGCCACAGGAGAUACUGCUGUUCCAGAGGACAACUCUGUUGAGGAUGCGCAACAAGAACUCCUAGCUCCUCUGAGGAUGCUGUUGCUAAGAUGGCAUCAUCUCCCCGCAGGCGAACUACAUUCCCUUGCCACCAACUUUACAUUAGAGUUCAACAGGAGCCAUAAUAACUAAUGAUGAGAAAGACAUGCUAGUUCUCUUAGAUGAGCAACAAUAAUGCAGAAAACAAAGAAAGUGAACCCAAGGGCAAGUGAACAUUUCAAUCGAAAAAUAUACUGACCAUGUUGCCUUCUAAUAGGCCAAAAUAGUCUGAUCUUGGCCUAAGUGUUGCUUUGGAAUUGGUUUCAGUUAAGCUGAAACUGCAAACUGCCCUGUUUUGCCUUUUGUUUUCAAAUCAAAUGAAGGAGACUUUCUCAGGAAAGGGGUUUGUGGAACGGCGGCAAAGAAAGUUUCCACAGUUCCAUCAAGGCUGAAGAAGGACUUCUGACACUUUACACUCUGGUUUAAUUAAAACCCAGGGGAGAUGGCAGAGAGAGUUGUUGUUUUCCUUCAUACAACAUGAAGGAAAGGAGACUAAAAAUGAGUCCACUGUGAGUCUAAAGGCAGAGAGAAUCAAUAUACCUAUAUAUAUACCUAUAGAGCACCACACAGACAGAAAACAUUUUGGUCUAUGUAAAAACUUCUUGUGCACUUCAGAUAUAUAGCCCUGCCCUGCAAACAACUUGAGAGACUUUAUUGAUGAUCUCAGCAAUAAACAAAUUCAGUGGGCUUUAUCUGUGAGAAGACCUCCACUACAAACACACAACACUCUCGAAGGCACCAGCUGUUUUGUUGUUGCAACAUUCUCAUCUGUCUCCUGGCAGGAAUGAUGCAGACAAGGAUUUACGUCACAAUGUAGCCUAAGACUCUUUGUAACAGUCUGAAACAGCCUAUUCCGGCCCUCAACAUCCCACAGAUAAAUGGGUGAAAAAGAGGUGAACUGUUAAAGCUUUUGUGUGUACCCAAUGACACACCUCCUGACUAGCCCUAUGACAUACCCUUUAUGGGAUCCUAUGGUGUGCCCUAUGAUCCUCCCCACUGUAUCCACCACUCCCCCUUGCAGUUCUCAACAGGCAGGCUGUACCAGUCUCACAGGCCUUUCGUAAGUCCGGCUGGAAUCCUCCAUGCCUUGGUACUGACCCCACAACACCCCUCUGAAAACCAAAUGACCCUCACCAUAUCAAAAAAAUGUGUUUGUAAUAUUGUGAAAAAAAGGUAAUAUUGUA